AGCUCCAUAGUGUAAUGGUUAGCACGUCUGCUUUACACACAGAAGGUCCUGGGUUUGUGCCCUAGGUGAAGCCA
rnacentral:tRNA from 1 species